AUUGAACGCUGGCGGCAGGCUUAACACAUGCAAGUCGAGCGGUAGCACAGGGGAGCUUGCUCCCUGGGUGACGAGCGGCGGACGGGUGAGUAAUGUCUGGGAAACUGCCUGAUGGAGGGGGAUAACUACUGGAAACGGUAGCUAAUACCGCAUAACGUCGCAAGACCAAAGAGGGGGACCUUCGGGCCUCUUGCCAUCAGAUGUGCCCAGAUGGGAUUAGCUAGUAGGUGGGGUAAUGGCUCACCUAGGCGACGAUCCCUAGCUGGUCUGAGAGGAUGACCAGCCACACUGGAACUGAGACACGGUCCAGACUCCUACGGGAGGCAGCAGUGGGGAAUAUUGCACAAAGGGCGCAAGCCUGAUGCAGCCAUGCCGCGUGUGUGAAGAAGGCCUUCGGGUUGUAAAGCACUUUCAGCGAGGAGGAAGGUGGCGAGCUUAAUACGUUCAUCAAUUGACGUUACUCGCAGAAGAAGCACCGGCUAACUCCGUG
rnacentral:rRNA from 1 species